UACGAAGGGGGCUAGCGUUGUUCGGAAUUACUGGGCGUAAAGCGCACGUAGGCGGAUUGUUAAGUCGGGGGUGAAAUCCUGGAGCUCAACUCCAGAACUGCCUUCGAUACUGGCGAUCUAGAGUCCGGGAGAGGUGAGUGGAACUGCGAGUGUAGAGGUGAAAUUCGUAGAUAUUCGCAAGAACACCAGUGGCGAAGGCGGCUCACUGGCCCGGUACUGACGCUGAGGUGCGAAAGCGUGGGGAGCAAACAGG
rnacentral:rRNA from 1 species